AAACGCAUGUGUGCGUCAUAUAUUUACCAUGUUUUAUUAUUUUGCACGUUUGCAGUAAGUUUAAGCUCGUUGCUUCGGCGAGAGUAGCACUAGGAUGGGUGACCUCCUGGGAAGUCCUCGUGUUGCAUUUC
rfam:Triticum urartu cultivar G1812 contig1160098, whole genome shotgun sequence.